rnacentral:rRNA from 1 species
UACAGAGGUGGCAAGCGUUGUUCGGAAUUACUGGGCGUAAAGGGCGCGUAGGCGGCUUUUCAAGUGACGGGUGAAAUCCCUCGGCUUAACCGAGGAACUGCCUGUCAGACUGGAAGGCUUGAGACCGGGAGAGGUGAGUGGAAUUCCCAGUGUAGCGGUGAAAUGCGUAGAUAUUGGGAGGAACACCAGUGGCGAAGGCGGCUCACUGGACCGGUACUGACGCUGAGGCGCGAAAGCGUGGGGAGCAAACAGG